GAUGAACGCUGGCGGCGUGCCUAACACAUGCAAGUCGAACGGAGAUUAGGGACGGAAGUUUUCGGAUGGAAGACUGUAAUUCUUAGUGGCGGACGGGUGAGUAACGCGUGGGCAACCUGCCCUAUACAGGGGGAUAGCAGCUGGAAACGGCUGGUAAGACCGCAUAAGUCGGCGAGACCGCAUGGUUUUGCCGGGAAAUGAGCAAUCAGGUAUAGGAUGGGCCCGCGUCCGAUUAGCCAGUUGGCAGGGUAAAAGCCUACCAAAGCAACGAUCGGUAGCCGGACGGAGAGGCCGGACGGCUAGAUUGGGACUGAGACACGGCCCAAAAUCCUACGGGAGGCAGCAGUGGGGGAUAUUGCACAAUGGAGGAAACUCUGAUGCAGCGACGCGGGGUGAGUGAAGAAGUAUUUCGGUAUGUAAAGCUCUAUCAGAAGGGAAGAUGAUGACGGUACCUGACUAAGAAGCCCCGGCUAACUACGUG
rnacentral:rRNA from 1 species